rnacentral:rRNA from 1 species
UACGGGGGGAGCAAGCGUUGUUCGGAUUUACUGGGCGUAAAGGGCGCGUAGGCGGCCAGCACAAGUCAGUUGUGAAAUCUCCGGGCUUAACUCGGAAAGGUCAACUGAUACUGUGCGGCUAGAGUGCAGAAGGGGCAACUGGAAUUCUCGGUGUAGCGGUGAAAUGCGUAGAUAUCGAGAGGAACACCUGCGGCGAAGGCGGGUUGCUGGGCUGACACUGACGCUGAUGCGCGAAAGCGUGGGGAGCGAUCCGG